rnacentral:rRNA from 1 species
UACGAAGGGGGCUAGCGUUGCUCGGAAUUACUGGGCGUAAAGGGCGCGUAGGCGGAUAUUUAAGUCGGGGGUGAAAGCCCAGGGCUCAACCCUGGAACAGCCUUCGAUACUGGAUAUCUUGAGUACGGGAGAGGGAUGUGGAAUUCCAGGUGUAGCGGUGAAAUGCGUAGAUAUCUGGAGGAACACCGGUGGCGAAGGCGGCAUCCUGGACCGACACUGACGCUGAGGCGCGAAAGCUAGGGUAGCAAACGGG